UAGAUGCUCGUAUACAACCUUACGAUAAUGCCAGUUUAUGUUGACACACUUCUUACACGGGCAAAGAAUCAUGUUCUCUUGGCUUGUGUAUUGAAAUGCAAAAUUUAGAAAACUCUGCACUCCAUUUCGAUAAUCGUCGCUAACUCUUGACAAAUUCAUCCAAGAACGGUCCAUUUCUUAAUUCUUGAAGUCUGACAUUGACAAUAAAUUGCACGGGUUUAGGAUUU
rnacentral:lncRNA from 1 species